GACGAACGCUGGCGGCGUGCUUAACACAUGCAAGUCGAACGGAAAGGCCCUGCUUUUGUGGGGUGCUCGAGUGGCGAACGGGUGAGUAACACGUGAGUAACCUGCCCUGGACUUUGGGAUAACUUCAGGAAACUGGGGCUAAUACCGGAUAGGAGCUCCUGCUGCAUGGUGGGGGUUGGAAAGUUUCGGCGGUUGGGGAUGGACUCGCGGCUUAUCAGCUUGUUGGUGGGGUAGUGGCUUACCAAGGCUUUGACGGGUAGCCGGCCUGAGAGGGUGACCGGCCACAUUGGGACUGAGAUAGGGCCCAGACUCCUACGGGAGGCAGCAGUGGGGAAUAUUGCACAAUGGGCGGAAGCCUGAUGCAGCAACGCCGCGUGCGGGAUGACGGCCUUCGGGUUGUAAACCGCUUUCGCCUGUGACGAAGCGUGAGUGACGGUAAUGGGUAAAGAAGCACCGGCUAACUACGUG
rnacentral:rRNA from 1 species